UCUCCCUUCCACGAGUGCUGCCUGCCUGCGGGCCUGGCGUGCCCCGAGCCCUUCGCCGUGACCCGCAGUGACACCUGUGUCAUCAAGUACCCUGACACCGUGGUGGACAUCGUGGAGCCCGACUUUCCCCCCUACUCCGUCAUCUACCCCGGGCCCACACUGACCACCUUCCCCCAGCAGACCCUGGUGGGCUCCACGGCCUUGCUGGACAUCAGGAACUUCCUGGGCUCCCAGGGAUUCCAUGGGUUUGGGGGCCAACCUAAACCCUGCCUGGAUAUCUGUGGAUAGACUGAAAAGCACAACUGAGCGGUCAGACAGAGCCCGACUAAAGUUUAUGGAUAAUGGAUUGUAGAAGUGCCGAGCUCCCGAGGUUCCCAUGGAGUCCAUAAAUCCAGGGAUUCCUGGCACUAGACCUGCCCAAGGACUAGAAUUUCCAAACUACGCGAAAACUGAAAUUUCUCUAUUGACCUCAUUCCAAAUUAGGGCAAACCAAAGGCCAGCAUUUUCCAAGAAACCAGAAUUAAAAAAAAUAUAUAUAUAUAUCUUUUUUUUCUUUUUUUUUUUUUUUUGGUUUGCUAAAAGCUGUGUGUCAAUAAAUUCGUUUUUAUGCCAACACAGAUGUUUUAUUAUCAAUUUCUCUCAAAAUAAAAAAAUUACAAAAUCCACCCAAACAAUAUGACUGAAAAUCUUGGAUUCUAAAAUGAAAUUUUACCCAAAUUCCUCUUCAUUUGCAAAUUUUGCUGAACCAGCAUUUAAAAAGAAAGAAAUAAAUCAGCUCUACUUGGCAUUUCUGAAAAUUAGGAAUUUGUAGCUCCUUGCUGUGCUUUCUUCCUGCUUAGUCCCAUUGUGUAACGCUCUCCCAGCUUCUUUUCCUUUCUUUAUCUCAUUUAAUGAAAGCCAAGGAAAAAAAAAAAAAAACAAAAUCAAAAUAUAUACAGCAAUUGUAAGAGCAAAUCUCUUUGCAAAAUCCUUCUGCUAAAAUCUGUGAAAAUCAUGGGAGUGGGGAUUUGUUGUGGACCCUCCUGGAAUUCUUUGAUUUUAUCCUUUCCAGAGAGUUUUGCACUUGUAAAUUGAGCUUCUCGUUCCCAUUAAAUGCUGUCAUGAAGAUGCA